GCCUUCAUGGUGUAAUGGUCAGCACGCUCGACGCGUAACCGAGAGGUCCGUAGUUCGAUUCCCGGUGAAGGCG
rnacentral:tRNA from 1 species